rnacentral:rRNA from 1 species
GUAGGUGGCAAGCGUUGUCCGGAAUUACUGGGUGUAAAGCGCACGCAGGCGGUUUGUUAAGUCAGAUGUGAAAUCCCCGGGCUCAACCUGGGAACUGCAUCUGAUACUGGCAAGCUUGAGUCUCGUAGAGGGGGGUAGAAUUCCAGGUGUAGCGGUGAAAUGCGUAGAGAUCUGGAGGAAUACCGGUGGCGAAGGCGGCCCCCUGGACGAAGACUGACGCUCAGGUGCGAAAGCGUGGGGAGCAAACAGGAUUAGAUACCCUGGUAGUCCACGCCGUAAACGAUGUCGACUUGGAGGUUGUGCCCUUGAGGCGUGGCUUCCGGAGCUAACGCGUUAAGUCGACCGCCUGGGGAGU